UGUCAGAAGUGAAGAUCAUAACAUGGUCAAGAAAAUAAUCUAAUGAAUAGAAUUUUAUAGAAAAAUAAAAGAUAUAUAUAUAGAAAUCCAAAAACCAACUAGAUAAACCAUUAAAAAAGAAGUCUUCAACAACGAACAUGAAAAAUAAUGACUAAAAUUGGGUUAAAUUUUUCUACGUUACAUUGCAUGCUUCUAGUGGGUGAAGUGCUUCCCAAAACUGUCAGUGAGCCUUCACCCUAAACCUUUCAAUUCCCUUAAAGGACACGAAAGACAAUUCAAAGAUAAUGGAAAUCCAUAAUACCAUUGGAUCAAUUAUUGCCAACAUAAUUAGCAGUAUUUUGGGGGGACGUCUUUUAGAAUUUAAGACACAAGUAAAGCACAUAUAUUCCUUCUUUAGAUAAACAGAUAUGGCGUAAGUUACUCUUGAAGAUACAUGCAUAUCCUUUUAGGGAUAGGAGACCAAUCUAAGAUUCUUUGUUUUCAUCUAGAGAUGCAAUAUCUCGGACCCAAACCUAAAUGUCCUCCAAAAAAAAGAAAUUAAGUUGCGAC
rnacentral:lncRNA from 1 species